rnacentral:rRNA from 1 species
UACGUAGGGGGCAAGCGUUGUCCGGAUUUAUUGGGCGUAAAGAGCUCGUAGGCGGCCACUCAAGUCGAAUGUGAAACCUCGAGGCUUAACCUCGAGCCUGCAUUCGAUACUGGGCGGCUAGAGUCUGGUAGGGGGAUCUGGAAUUCCUGGUGUAGCGGUGGAAUGCGCAGAUAUCAGGAGGAACACCGGUGGCGAAGGCGGCGUUCUGGACUGCAACUGACACUGAGGAACGAAAGCCAGGGGAGCAAACGGG